GGAUUUUGCUGUAGAGACCAGACAUCUGUGGAUACACAAAUAACAGCUGUAUAACUAAGCUUUUUAUACCUCAAGCAUUACAAUGGAGCAGUUACUUUUAUUGUCCUCUACCUGUGUCUCAUAGCUCUCCUGUAGAGAUCCCAGGUGGCGGACGAAGCUCAUGGCCAGGCCACACCACUUCUCAGCUUCGGGGUAUUGAGCCAAGCUGUACAGCAAAAUCCCAGUGUUCCAAGCCUGAGUCAGCAACCACAAGGUCUCCAUCUCUGGGAAGUCGUCCGGCUACGGAGAAGAGCA